rnacentral:lncRNA from 10 species
UGCGGCUUUAAAAAGGAAUGAGGAAGCUCUCUGUGUACUGAUGGGGACAGAAGUUCCAGGACAUUUUGUAAGGUGGCUGAAAAACAAGACAGAUGCUUCCAGAAUCAAUCACCGAAUGGUGGAUCUACAGCCAACCACCCAUUCUCUUCAGUCACUGAGAUGAUAUGAUGCUGCUGGUCCAAGGACUACAUUUCGAGAACCCCAACCACGCAUGGAUUGUUGUCAACUAUGAAUCACAAGAUUUCCAGGGUUUUGUCUGCUGCCUUCCCUGCAAGCCCUGCCAUCCACUGAGACCCAACCUCAGCCAUUCUUGGCACAUCAGCCCAUGAGAAGUCUGCCACUCUUUCUUCCUAAGCAAAGCAGCAUCCUUCAGGGCCUGGAGCUCCUGGACACAAAAGCCAUUUUUGGGAGAAAAAUGUGGAUAAAGUCACUCCUGGGCCACCUGUCUGUGAGGCUGUAUGGAAGCUGCCUACUGGUUUGAGGAGAGGCUGCUGGGUUCUUUCCUUUACUAAGGAUUUGCUUAAGUCAGCCCUCCAGGAUCCAAAAAAGAGCCAGAAAAAAGCCAGCAAAACAGCUGAGGCACAGACUAGAUGGUAGUCCAAGGACCAAGACCUGGCCAGCCAGAGGGACCAGGUGUCCAGACCCCGGACUGUUUUCAAUACAGUUAUACAAUGAAAUCAAAUAAAUGGAUGUAUUGAUUGCUUGGCAAUUAAUGGGGGAACAAUUAAUUUGGCCAUAGGAUAGGGGCUCAUCCCCAUGGACGCUUGAGUGUCCAGCAGUGAUCUCUGUGCUC